UCAAAAUUCCAUAUCAUCCAUACAUCCAAAAUUCCAUAACAUCCAUAUAUACAUAUAGUUCCAUAGCAUCCAUACAUACAUAGCUCCAUAGCAAAUAUAAUACACAACGAUACUUUGCGGGCAUUAGUAAGUAAUAUUUGGCACUAAAGCAAAUGCCUUCAUGUCCAUAUCGUAGUCCAAAGAGCAUCCGCGUGGCAACCUAC
rnacentral:lncRNA from 1 species